GACGUAGGGUGCGAGCGUUGUCCGGAUUUAUUGGGCGUAAAGAGCUCGUAGGCGGCUCGUCGCGUCGACCGUGAAAACCCGCGGCUUAACUGCGGGCUUGCGGUUGAUACGGGCGGGCUAGAGUUCGGUAGGGGAGACUGGAAUUCCUGGUGUAGCGGUGAAAUGACGCAGAUAUCAGGAGGAACACCGGUGGCGAAGGCGGGUCUCUGGGCCGAUACUGACGCUGAGGAGCGAAAGCGUGGGGAGCGAACAGG
rnacentral:rRNA from 1 species